AUUGAACGCUGGCGGCAUGCUUUACACAUGCAAGUCGAACGGUAACAGGCGUUCGGGUGCUGACGAGUGGUGGACGCGGGCGUAAUGCUACGAAAUGUACCCCGAGGCGGGGGGAAACGCAGCGCAUGCUGUGCUAAUACCUCAUGUGAGCUGAGGAUGAAAGCGGGGGACCGCACAACAAAGAGUGGGUCCGGCCCUUACGUGUGGCCGAUUCCGGGCUGGAUUAGCUAGUUGGUAAGGUAACGGCUUACCAAGGCAACGAUGCGUAGCUGAUCUGAGAGGGUGAUCAGCCACACUGGGACUGAGACACGGUCCAGACUCCUACGGGAGGCAGCAGUAGGGAAUCUUCCGCAAUGGGCGAAAGCCUGAUGGAGCAAUGCCGCGUGAGUGAAGAAGGUCUUCGGAUUGUAAAACGCUGUUGGCAGGGACGAAAAGAUGUCCGAUAAUCCCGGCACAUAAUGACGGUACCUGCAGAGAAAGCAACGGCUAACUACGUG
rnacentral:rRNA from 1 species